rnacentral:rRNA from 1 species
UUACUGCUUGGGACUGAUAGUCUAGAGUGAGGGAGAGGCAGAUGGAAUUGGUGGUGUAGGGGUAAAAUCCGUAGAUAUCACCAAGAAUACCCAUUGCGAAGGCGAUCUGCUGGAACUUAACUGACGCUAAGGCGCGAAAGCGUGGGGAGCAAACAGGAUUAGAUACCCUGGUAGUCCACGCCCUAAACGAUGUACACUAGUUGUUGGGGUGCUAGUCAUCUCAGUAAUGCAGCUAACGCAUUAAGUGUACCGCCUGGGGAGUACGGUCGCAAGAUUAAAACUCAAAGGAAUAGACGGGGACCCGCACAAGCGGUGGAGCAUGUGGUUUAAUUCGAAGAUAC